GCUGGUUUGGCUCAGUGGAUAGAGUGUCAGACUGCGGACUGAAGGGUCCCUGGUUUGAUUCUGGGAAAGGGCA
rnacentral:tRNA from 1 species